rnacentral:tRNA from 1 species
GCAGUGAUGGCCGAGUGGUUAAGGCGUCCUGACUAGAAAUCAGAUGGGAUCUUCCCGCGUAGGUUCGAAUCCUACUCACUGCG